GCCUUUAGAUGAACCAACUUCACAGAUUGUAUUUUAUAACGUCACAUGAUGAUGCUUCAGAAAUGAUUUAUUAUUGUUACUGGUGGCAGUGAUUUUCUUGAUUGCUCUCUCUCUCCAAUUGAAAAUGAUUGCUUUCUCUAUGUCUGCACUUGAAUAAUCAAUUGGUGUGUGCAUUGAUCGGGUUCGGAUGAAUGGAGUGAAUGAGUAACCACAUAUCUUCUAAUCCCUGAGCUUUACAUCAUGCAGGGUGUAAGGAGGGUUCUCUGGAUUACUUUCAUCUCCCAAAAGCAUGCCUGUAGGUGGAUUGGGUAUAAUAAAUUGCCCUAAGUGUGAGUGAGUGUGUGAAUGUGUGUGCAUGGUGACCUGAGAUGGACUGGCGUCCCAUCCAAACUGUAUUCCCGUCUCAUGGCCAGUGUUCCCAUGAUAACCUCUGGAUUUACUACGGUUACUGAAAGUGAGUGUUGGAGAAUUCAAAACAGUCCAAAUCUUGUAACUGGCCAACUGUCUAUGGAUAUUACUUUAGUUUCCAUAGCAUUGUGCCAAGCAUUGUC
ensembl:lncRNA